GUAUCCCUUGGGGAAAGCAAUUUGUGGGUAGCUUCAGUGUAUUGUAAAUUACUGUUUUAACUUGUUCCUAAAGUAACUCAAAUUUACACCAUGAUUUGCAUUAGCAACGUCAUUUUAUGGCUCUUUAGUUUUCCAUGUUUUUAUCUAUAUGUAUAAAAAUUGUUCUACAAAAAAAUUUAUUAUUGUGUGAUGUGCAGACGAAGUGUUUUUAACUUUUUGUAUAUGAUGACUUUAGGGUAGCACAAACAUGGCUUCUUUAUAGCUCACAUUUCUCAGUCCUCUUUCGAGAUGCUUUACUGUUGAGAAUGAUACCCACACACUUCCAGGAUACCCUGAGGCACUGUGCACGGUUAACAGGUUACACUUAAGUUACUUGCUUUGCUCACACCUUAUGACAUUAACGUAUAGAAAGGCUCUUUGUCCUUCACAGGGGAGCCUGAGUAUAAACCAGAGUUACUGCUCCCUUGGCCUCUGUCCUCUUCUGGUUCCCAUCCCGUCCCCUAUCUUUUCAGCCUAAUGAACAGCAUUGUUUUUAAUUCUCUUGUCACAGGCAUGGUGGUCUAAUAGAGCCAAGAUCACAUUGGGUAUUAAAGUUUCUGUACACACAUCACCACCCGACAGGUCAACAAAGAUCUCCCUUGGAGUCAGCCCAUAAUCUAUGAACAGAAAUUGUGCUUAUUAAAGCAAUCUCCAUUUUAAAAAAAUGUUUUUUUCAAGAUGAGACAUUUGAAGUAACUUUUUAAAGUAAGUUUUAUAAAAAUAUGUGUUCCUCUUUAAAUAGGAGUCUGUUCAAAAUUAGAAGUUAUUGACAGUCAUUUGUAGCUUGUAAUUUUCCAUUUUUCUAACCACUGUCAUUUUUUCUUCUCACAUAAAGUGCCUAUCCAGCACAAUAUACUGGAGACAGUCUCGGACACUAGGGACUGCCAUCAUGUUGAGCACAGUUGAUAUGGACAGAUGAGGUCCUUUCAUAAGAAGCCUCCAAGUUUCUUUCCUUCCUCUGCAUUUACUAAAUAGCUUUAGGUUCCAUUUCCAGUGGUGUUUUGUAAUACUAUGAUAAACUAAUCCAAUCAUGAUUUAUUCAUUCUCUAGACAACUUGAAUAGUGUAUGAAUGUUCACCCAGUUUCAACAUUAAAUAUGUAAGCUGGGCUUAUAAUUAAAACAAAAUUUUAUCAAAAUAUAAGGAACUUCAUUACUCCCCAUUUUAACAGAUCCUGGAAACAAGUGGGGGAGUCAGUCUUCUCCUCAUUUAACUGAUUCAUGUUAGUUUCUUGUCUACUAGAUGUCCCAGCUCUGUGGUAGGAAUGAUCAAGUGCACUAACUUUGCUACCAACUUUCAACCGCUUGUAGAGCAGAAUAUUCAUUUGAAGGGUGUGGGGUUGUCUAGAAGUAAUGUCAUAAAAUGCUAAGCAUGUCCUCUGUAAUAAAACAUAAGGUUCUUAAUAGUUUAAUUACUAUGGAAUUCAGAUUACUUAGAAGUAUUUAAGUGCAAUCUUGAAUUAUGAAGUUGAGAUGUAUAUAUUAGGAUGUCAACUUGAUGUAAAGUAAAUGAGCAGUUACCUGAUGGAUCUUUUUUAAUAACUGGUUUAAUCCACAACCCUAAAGCGUAGCUUCACUCAGUAUUUAUAGUAUCUUUGUCCAUUCAACAACACUCCAAUAAGGAAAUAGUAGGAAAUAGCUGAGAAUUACUGGAGGAUUUUAUUUAUUUUUAUUAGGAAAAUAAGUUUCUAGAGUCUUGAGUGCUGGAUAAUUCUUUUGUCUUUCCCAUUCAUGGCAGCUAAAAAAAAAAAAUCACUCAAAAUAUUCAGGUUUACAUGUUAUGCUCUUAUAAGGAGCUAUCAUACCUCACAAUUCAAAGUGUUUUCUCAAUCAGUAACAUGAUACUGACAUGUAAUUGCAAUUUACUAUGCAGCAAUGAUUCAAGAGAAAUAACAUGCGUGUCUAUUUACCUCUGUAUAGGCAAUGCUUACAUUACUCUACUUUCAACAUUUGUACUCUGAUAAAUGCUUAUGUAUGUAUAGGAAUGUCACAGUGAAGAUGCUGCUAGCCCGGGCACAGAG
ensembl:lncRNA